rnacentral:lncRNA from 1 species
UAUUUGUCUAAAUACAUAGAAUACAAAUGAAGACGUUCAAAAGGUGUUGCUUGCAAACAAAUGCGACCUCUACGAUCAACGGAUGGUAAGCAAAGAGGAGGGAGAAUCGUUCGCACAAGAAAAUGGUAUGAGGUUUUUUGAGUCAAGUGCAAAGACAAAUAUCAAUGUAGAGACAGCUAUCCUGACAUUAGUAGAAGACAUUAUUGAAAAAAAUCCAACGGCCAACCUAUUACCUAAAUAAGUUGACACCGGCAAAAAAAAAAAAAGGAAUAAGGAAAAUAGUAGAUGUUGUUAACCUUUUCUCAUCGUCUUCAUAUGGUUAAAUAAACAUCAGUGGACUUUAAACACUAUUUCUCAGCCAGCAUUGACAUCAAAUUUGAUCAGUCACUGCAUCUUGCCAGUUUAUUUUUGAAUACAAAUACUCUACACCAGGGCUGCAUUAUUAGCAAAGAAGAAAACACAUAGUAGAUAUUUUUGACUUGCAGUACAGUAUUAUCCAAUCAGAAAAAAAAAUACUCACAGAUGAAUUUGCAUAAUCUUCUUUUACUUGGAUUACAGGCAUGUGUGGAUAAUAAACUAUGAGAUGAGGUUAACUUUUUAUUAUAUACUAAUUCUAGAUUUUUCUUUUGAGUUAACCAGAAAAUACAGUAAAAAAAUAUAAGGGAAAAAUACAAUAAAAAAUAUAAGAAAAAAUUUAGAAAUAUAAAAAUACUUACUUUAAUGAUAUUCAAUAAUAUUCGAUAUGUGCAUGUACCAUAAAGUUUGGGAAUAUCAAUGAAGGGAAGAUAAAAUUGCAAGACUGCUCAUAAAGUGAUUUUAGUCUACAGUUUAUAAGAUCGUUGGUUUAUAAGAUCAUUAUUAUUAUUAUUAUUGUUAUUAAUAUUACUACUAUAUAAGACUGAUAUGGUAAACUAUCUAUACGGGUGUAUAUGUAUGUUUGCGUGUAUGUGUAUUGGUGUAGGUGUAUGUGCGUGUAUAUGUAUAUAUAUAUAUAUAUAUAGGUGUAUGUGUAUAUAUAAGCAUGUGUGUAUAUGUUUAUGUAUAUUAUAAGUUUAUUUUAUCGAGUGUUUUAUUAAGAAAGAUAAUUUCAUGUCCUUAUUUUACCUUAUAAUGUAUUUUAUUAACAAGUCAUGAAUUGUUUUAUAUUUCUGAAUCUUAAUACUUUAUAUAGGUAUAUCCUACAUGUAUUCAAUGACAUUAUAAUAUAUAAUAGGAACCAUAAUCAAUUAUAUUAUGCAAAGUUAUAAUUGUUAAAUUAUAGAAAAAAAUAUCAAGCACUAAUAGGUAAAAAUUUAUCAAAAUAAUAAUUGUUUAUAGAAAUUUCAUGUGAUAGUGUACUUCGUGGUAGACACGUGAAGUUUUUAUUAUUUUUUUUUUUGCUUUACUUUCAUGUAAAUACUGAACAUAAUGUUUAUUGAACCUUAACAAGAGUUAGUGAAAAAAAUGAAAACAAUGAAAAAAGAGAGAAUAAAGGUGUGCAACACCCACGAAAGACAAAAAAAAAAAAUGAUCGUUGGUGUCAAUAAUCCCUGGUAAAAGGUCUAAAGUGUAAAAAUGUGUUAUCUUAGCUGUGUUCCUUAACAAAAUACUUGCCAUGGUUCCAAGACAGAUGUCCUUUGGUCCACUGGUCCCACCACCACUGUAUAUAAUAUUUUAAAAUAUAUGCUAAUUUGUAUCUAUCAUGUUAUUAUAAAGUAGCUAUUUUUAAAUAUAGAAGAAUCAUAUUGAUAUAUUAAAAUUAGACAAACGGAGAAAAAAGAUAUUAAAAAUAUUAAGAUGUGUAUUGGGGCUCCAUUUCAAAGGGACCAUAAAGGAUUGGGCCUCUCAACUAAUACAAGAACCACACUAGUGUACAUAGAGACGAUUAGUUGAAAGACACCAAAAGCUAAGCAAAAAUUCUUGGAUUUAAAUUGCAAAUGCCCUGUAACUCCAUGACAACACUGUAAUAUAAUAUUAAUACACUCAAGACAAUUAAAUAGCGGACGACAUUUGAACUGAAAUUUAAAAUGGUGAACAAAAUGAUAAGGUAUAAAUGGGUAAUAACAUUUUCAAGAUUGUUUUAAAAAGGUAGUCCUAGCCGAUGCAUGUUAAUUGUUCCAAAUAAAAAAAAAUUAUUGUGUUGGCCACGAACAACCGACCCAAAAUGUUCGUAAUUGAGUCUGUUAGACCUGUUUACUUGG